CCUACGGGUGGCAGCAGUGGGGAAUAUUGGACAAUGGGGGGAACCCUGAUCCAGCCAUGCCGCGUGUGUGAAGAAGGCCCUCGGGUUGUAAAGCACUUUCAGUGAGGAAGAACGCCUGGUGGUUAAUACCCAUCAGGAAAGACAUCACUCACAGAAGAAGCACCGGCUAACUCCGUGCCAGCAGCCGCGGUAAUACGGAGGGUGCGAGCGUUAAUCGGAAUUACUGGGCGUAAAGCGCGCGUAGGUGGCUUGAUAAGCCGGUUGUGAAAGCCCCGGGCUCAACCUGGGAACGGCAUCCGGAACUGUCAAGCUAGAGUGCAGGAGAGGAAAGUAGAAUUCCCGGUGUAGCGGUGAAAUGCGUAGAGAUCGGGAGGAAUACCAGUGGCGAAGGCGGCCUUCUGGACUGACACUGACACUGAGGUGCGAAAGCGUGGGUAGCAAACAGGAUUAGAUACCCGGGUAGUC
rnacentral:rRNA from 1 species